rfam:Lactobacillus coleohominis 101-4-CHN genomic scaffold supercont1.1, whole genome shotgun sequence.
CAACAACUACAACCGCACGGUCACAAGUAAAAAGCAUUUGCUACUUGUGUCGGCGAGUCUGAGAUUUAAG